UUGGAGGGCAAGUCUGGUGCCAGCAGCCGCGGUAAUUCCAGCUCCAAUAGCGUAUAUUAAAGUUGUUGCAGUUAAAAAGCUCGUAGUUGAAUUUCGGGGUCAGUAGGUUGGUCGUGCCACUGGUACGUACUGGUCUCACUGAUUCCUCCUUCCUGAUGAACCGUAAUGCCAUUAAUUUGGUGUUGCGGGGAAACUGGACUGUUACUUUGAAAAAAUUAGAGUGUUUAAAGCAGGCUAACGCUUGAAUACAUUAGCAUGGAAUAAUGAAAUAGGACGUUCGAUCCUAUUUUGUUGGUUUCUGGGAUUGACGUAAUGAUUAAUAGGGAUAGUUGGGGGCAUUAGUAUUCAAUUGUCAGAGGUGAAAUUCUUGGAUUUAUUGAAGACUAACUACUGCGAAAGCAUUUGCCAAGGAUGUUUUCAUUAAUCAAGAACGAAAGUUAGGGGAUCGAAGACGAUCAGAUACCGUCGUAGUCUUAACCACAAACUAUGCCGACUAGGGAUCGGAUGAUGUUAAUUUUUUAAUGACUCAUUCGGCGCCUUACGGGAAAC
rnacentral:rRNA from 1 species